GAGUUGACGCUGGCCCUCUAACAGGGGCAUGUGCACGCUCUGUUUGCACAUCCACUCACACCUGUGCACCCUUCGUAGUUCUGUGGCCUGUGGGGCUCUGCCCUCCUGCCGCGGUUCUAUGUCUUUACACAUACACUAUGUAAUAAAGUCUCAUGGAAUGUGUGCCGCGUUUAACGCAAUACAAUACAACUUUCAGCAACGGAUCUCUUGGCUCUCGCAUCGAUGAAGAACGCAGCGAAAUGCGAUAAGUAAUGUGAAUUGCAGAAUUCAGUGAAUCAUCGAAUCUUUGAACGCACCUUGCGCCCUUUGGCCAUUACCGAAGGGCAUGCCUGUUUGAGUAUCAUGAACACCUCAACUCACAUGGCUUGCCAUGAUGAGCUUGGACUUUGGGGGUCUUGCUGGCCUGCGGUCGGCUCCUCUCAAAUGAAUCAACUUGCCAGUGUUUGGUGGCAUCACAGGUGUGAUAACUAUCUGCGCUUGGGGGGUUUCUAUCAAUAACCUCCAGUAGAUGGGGGGGUUCCGCUUGGAAGCUCAUAAAAUGUCUCUCCCUAAAGUGGAAGGACAGCUUUU
rnacentral:misc_RNA from 1 species